GAUGAACGCUGGCGGCGUGCCUAAUACAUGCAAGUCGAGCGAACAGAUAAAGAGCUUGCUCCUUUGACGUUAGCGGCGGACGGGUGAGUAACACGUGGGUAACCUACCUAUAAGACUGGAAUAACUUCGGGAAACCGGAGCUAAUACCGGAUAACAUUUGGAACCGCAUGGUUCUAAAGUGAAAGAUGGUUUUGCUAUCACUUAUAGAUGGACCCGCGCCGUAUUAGCUAGUUGGUAAGGUAACGGCUUACCAAGGCGACGAUACGUAGCCGACCUGAGAGGGUGAUCGGCCACACUGGAACUGAGACACGGUCCAGACUCCUACGGGAGGCAGCAGUAGGGAAUCUUCCGCAAUGGGCGAAAGCCUGACGGAGCAACGCCGCGUGAGUGAUGAAGGGUUUCGGCUCGUAAAACUCUGUUAUUAGGGAAGAACAAAUGUGUAAGUAACUGUGCACGUCUUGACGGUACCUAAUCAGAAAGCCACGGCUAACUACGUG
rnacentral:rRNA from 1 species